CCCUGUGAAAAAAAGAAAAUAGAUGGAAGCCCAAGAUGUUCUUUUUCAUUGAUUGGAAAGAUGCUAUCUUUAAUGAAACGAUGGCCUCAAAUCUACUUUUUCUCCCAGUUAAACUAUGUAGCUGAUUUUUUUCUUGCACAUCUGAUACAUCAGAAUGGGGCAAAGGUGUUCUCUUUGUUUUUUCUUUUGCUCUCCUUUAAUCCUCUUCCUCCCAGUUAAAUAAAGGACAGCAGUAACUCUGAAACAAGGGAGAGUGCUGCAGGGCUAUGUUGCUACUAUGAAUUUAGAAGUAAACUGCUUAAAAGAGAUUUAAAUCUAGACGGUGACUUGUAAAAGGUCUUGCUAGCUUCAGGUAUUUACUGAACUGGGUAAGAAAGAGAAGAUGACAGAUGAGGUGGUUAUCUGUGUCACCUCAGCUCAGCCGAACGUUCCCAGCACGCUGCGCCAGGUUCUGAGAGCGCAGCUUCAAUGAGUGUCUGCAUGCCAGGUCAGUGGUGCAGGCUGCUGUUGCUGGUGCUUUAAUCAAAUGCCUGAUGCACAAAUGAGUUCUUUACAACAGCAGCUUUCAUGUAUCUAAGCUAAAAAUUAAAACAGUUCACUCACAGUAUCUCUGACCUUGUGAACCUGCUCACAUUUCCCAGUGGGAGAUGAGUGACUUGUGGUGACAUACUGGAUAUGCCAAACACCAAUUAAAUACUUAGGAUGAAGUUCAUUUUAGCAGUUCUGACCUCAGUGUUUCCAUGUAACACUCUGUAAAUGGCACAUUUGUAUUAUUAUAAGCCAGAGCACUUCAUUUUCCUUUUGUUUUAAUCUCUACAUUAACCUGUACCUACGACGGUUUUUUACUUCGGGCACGGGCAUUUGGGCCAGACAGGAACUCACACAACUCUGUCAUAAAUACUAAGAUAGCAAGCUGUCCCAGACAGAAUUGCCCAAUUGUAUCCCUCUCUCUCCAGUGCCAUGGCAGAAAAUUCCCAGUAUCAGCACUUAGUGAAGCUUUGGGAGCUGCUCUGUGCUACUGCCUGAGCUGAAUAGGAUCCUAGCACAGAGCAAGAAAUCUGAUACAGACUCAGGGCUGUCAGCUCUAAUAUACAGUUGAUUAUUUUCAUUCUGAAGAGCUAAUAUUUAAGGUCACUUUCAAUUGAAUGCAUCCACAAUCUGUCAGUAGUCUGUGCUGGUCAUUAUUUUUACUGUGUAAUUCUGUCACCUACGCAAUUUUCUAAUGUUUCUUAUUUUGCCAUUAUCCAUAUUGUAUAUGCAAAGGUAAUGUAUGAUAUUGCAGCUGCUUUCCAUUUGUGCCUUAGAUUAACGUUUUAAUUCGAUCAAUCUGGCUUCCUUGUAACACAGCAUGGUGAUCAAUCUUACAGGACCAGAACAAAAAUAAAAUUACAUUUCUAGAAUAAGAUGGAUUCUAAACUUAUUAAAUAUAUUCUCACUGGAAUACAUAAGAGUAAAACAAAAUCCUUCAUUGCUUCACCUACAGAAAAUGUAUUUGUAAUCUAAAGCUGCCCUUCAUAGAGAAUUUUAUUAUUUCUAAACUACAACUAUUAGAACUAAAUCUUCAAUUAAUUUUUCACCUUUUUGAUACAUUGGACCUCUUAUUGUUACUUAAAUGAAUCAUUUGUAUGGUUACUAUAAAUCUAAUAGGACACAUUUUCAUGUGAUGUGUUUUUGUUAAGAACUACUAAACAAAUGGGCCUCUGCCUCUCAUUUAGACUGCUCUUCCUUCCUGCACUAAAGCUGGAUUUUACUCUUGGGUCCUCAACAGUACACCUGUAUUGCUUGGUUCAAAUUUACUGCUUUAAAGUUAGGAUUAGUAGAGUUGAAAUUGUAUCUCCAAUAGACUUGGGAAAAAUGCAGCCCCAGUUAAGGGGGCAAAGAGAGCCUGUGAGGCUGCUGGUCCCAACAUCUCCAGGCAAGGUGUUUGUGAAGCCAGGGAUUCCAAUUCCAUCAAAGGCUCUCAACUAACACCAGUGUAUCCUUAGAGGAGGUCCUUGGCUCCUGCCAGGCUGUACCAGGCACUGCAUCCUGUGCACCAUCCCACCAGAAACAGCCCAGGAGCACCUGGAGCACAGGGGCUGGCAGGUGAGAGAGGCAGGAGCUCAGUCCUGCGAGACUCAGGCCUUGUGUGCAGCUCUGCUGGCUGAACAGGGGGUGAGAUCAGGGCAUGAAUGGCAGCUGUGCCUGCAAACCUCUCUAGGACUACUCUGCAGCUGACUGAGGUUUUAAGGCUAAAUUCCAAAAGCUGUCAUUUAGAUUUGGAAUUCUGAAAGGUAUUUACAUAUGGAGGACUGUCUCAUUUUAUGGGAGUUCUGGAUUCCCCCAGAUUGCAUGCUGGUAAGCUUUGGAUUUGAACUCUGGCUUGAGUACACCAUAACCCAAAUUAACUGAGCUACGUUAUCUUCUAGCUGCAAUUAGCUUGUGUCACCAGCAAAUGAAAUGCAUGAAUAAUUUCUGUACAGAAAUUGCUUGCCACCUCAUUUAUUAACAUUAAAACAGAUGCUGUUUUAUCACUGACUGAUACUGGACAUUAAUCAGUAUUUUGUCAGACUCUGCAUGCAUAUUAAUAUCACAGCUGGGAGGAAUCUCAGGAAGUUCCUGUGUAAAAUAUCCUGUACUUCCUGCCUGAUCACCUGCCAGCACAGCACCAGUGGAAGUGCUUGUACCCCUGUCAAUCAGCUACUGUUUGCCACUUGAGUGCACAUUUUCCCACAGAUGGUAUCCACCUACAGCAAAAGCUGGAAAUACAGCAAAAAAGAAGGCAGGGAAACCAGGCCACCCCAUACCACAUUCUGGUCAGCCUCUUUCCUUAGAAAUAAAGAGCCAUAAUAAAUUAACCCUCUAAAACUAUAGGUACUCACACACUUGUAAAAUAAUUCAUAUUUUGAUGUGUGAGUAAAGUGUCCUUUAUAUGUUGAAUGAUGGGCAAGGUGCUGUGUCAGGACCAUGAAAAUUUCUAGAUAGAAUUUUUUUGCUUUCUGUUUCCAGGAUCUCCUUUCCCUGACCUCCAUAAUUAGUCCUGUUUUCCAAACCAUGUAUGCAUUUUGUUAUUAAGCUAAUGAGGUGAGGCAUAUGGACCAAAGAGCAGGACUAGCUCACAUACAGCUUACAGUGUCUCAUAAGCUCCAGGAAAUGUAACCAGCAACAACUGCUGCUUUGCAUUUGAUUUAAAGGAACUGAAAGUGGAGAGAGAGAGAGAGAGCAGUAAGAAAACACUAAAGUCUUUCAAAUACCAAUUUUCAGGUGAAUUAUCAUGGAAAAUGGCCUGGGAGUCAAAUGAGGAUUCUUAAAGGAAAAUUAUCUGGUUCAAUAACUGGAACAAAAAUUAUUCAUAUUAGUUAAAACAAGGCUCAGAAUUAAGUUUGUGGGAGUUCCAGAGGGCCUGUGAAGAGAAGAGUUAAAGAGGGUUCAUCUCACUAAUCCCCUGAGUUCUCCUUGUGCACAGGAGUACCCUGAGACCUGCAGGGAACCAGCCUUUCUGUCCCUGCUGCCCAUAAUGCCACAGACAGGGUUGGAAUUCCAAACUCAUUAAGGCUUGGCUUGUCCUUCCCAGCCCUGCUGCUGAGCACCCACAAAGGGAAGCAGCAGCACUGCGGUGCCUUCAGGAAUUGUUGUGCUAUCUGGGCACUGCUGUCAGGCUGCUGAAGGGAGGCAAGAGGAGAACCCUGCACGUCCCAGGAGGGAGUCCUGUGCAUGCAAUGGGCUGCCAAAGGGAGUUCUGAGAGGGAAGUGCUUCCUGUCCGGGAAAGGCUUGGAUUGCAUCCCUGGGCACUGGAAAAAAUACAGUAAGAUGGCUUGUCUGUCUUGGGACAAAAGAGUGAGAGGUGUGCACACUUUACAGAAAUGUUUGUGAUGUUCAUGGAAGCACAAACUUCCAUUUUAUUACAGAAUGUACAGAAGUAUUUAGCAGCAUGAGAGCAAUAUCGAGCCAUUGACCCUUUACUACAGCGUAAAUCUGUAGCAAGCAAAGGGUUUGAAAUUACUUAUAGCUUUGCUGUAAAGUACUAGAAUUUUUUAAUAAUCAGGACACCAAGUCCAGUUCAGCUAUGAAACUCAGUGUCCAGUGAAAGUAAAUAGAAAUGAAUCUAAACCACCUUGUUGCAAGUAAUAGUGACAAAUCUUUUAGUCUGUGCUCCAGACUCCUUCACUAGACUAUUUUUCCUGCACGGGUGCAAAGCAAUUUGGUUAAUGAUCUUAAGCUAAUAAUUUGUAACAGAAUCAACAGCAUGAAAUUCAUGGUACCUUUGAGGUGUCCUUCACGUUACAGAUGUGACGCUAAUUUAGUUCUGUGACAGUGAUCACCACACUCAUUACUUAUUCCACAAAUUAAUACUUAAAAAUGAAUGGGUAUCUAUCUGCUGAAGUUAUAAAUUUGGUGAUAUUAAUUCUGAACAGAAAUAAGAUUUUUUGGGGGUUGUUUUUUACUUUUUUAAUCUUAAUGAUUUUUAUUUGCACAGCAAGUAGGAUACUCACACCAUCUAGCGCACACACACUUUUUUGUGGGUUUUUUUGCGAGUUUUUUGUUUUGAUUUUUUUUAUUUUAAUGGUAGAUUCUUAGUCUGUCUGACUGAAAACCAGGAAAUAUGGCUUACAAUUGCAGAAUAUUUCUUUCUUUCUGCUAUUCUGUUCUGUUGUCAUAUUUCUUUGAAAGAAAACAGUUUUAACUUCUUAAUGAGUGGCUGAAGAGCCAGCUAAGAAGGUUAACUCUAUUUAUGACAAGAAAUUCCUUUCACAGAUCUUAAUGGACAGCUUCUUCCAGGCAUGGCAACUACAGUUUUCCCCUUCAUCACCUGGGGAAUCAAGCUGAAAUAAAGACAUUUCAUAUUACUUUGAUUAAGAAAUGACCUUUUCCCUUUUUAUAACCAGAUCAUCAGUUUAAGAAUUACUUCCUUGUGCCACUGGAAUACAGCCACUUCUGGAGUAAGACCAGCCACUUAUAGAAAUUGAAGUAGUAUGUGUUGGCCAACUGAGAUCAGAGGAAUGAGAUGCUGUGCUGCAGAAGGCACUAAUGUUGAGAGCUCAGCAGAAACCUCCUGGGGAACAGCAGCAUUCUGGACCAUAUCUGAGCAAUGUUCUCAGCUCAAAUUCUGAUCUGAGCAAUGUUAUGCUCCUGCCCCCACAAGCACCUGAAUUUUCUUCCUUACAAAUUCUUUUCUACCCAUGUUUCAUCUUCCCUUUCUUCUAUGCAGCUCAUUCAUUUUCAUCUCCCAUUUUAAUCUUCUUAGCCCUUCAAGUAUGCUGUCUGUGCCCUCUAAAAUCAACAGGGCCUGUUCCUCAGGCUGAAUUUUGCUGGCAUCUGAGUGCCCUUGAUUCACGCUGGGAGUUCAGGGUGCCCAUGACUGAGUGCACUAUAAACUUGUUACAAUGCCGUUAAUGGCUCAAAUACCUUGAAAAUAUUUCAGGAGCUGAGCCUGGUGCUUGUGCAGAAAAAGAAAAGCUUUCAUCACACACUUACCACAGGCCUCUGCCUUUGGAUGGGUGAUGCAGAACAGAAAGAGCAGCUUGCCUGAAAUUGCACAGCAUGUGCCAGAAAAAGAACAGGAUCCUGGCAGUGUCAGGGAAGGAACAGGACCCUGGCUCCCCAUGGCAGAACUCAAGUUCUGAGAGUGAAGCAGGGAGGGAAACUGUUCCUCAGAACUGGGGACAGCACGUGAUCCUACCCUGAAUCACCAAAAGAUGCCUUUGUAAAUACUGAGCACACAGAUAACCCCCUGCACAUUUCUCCAAGGGUUCAAAUGCCUAAUUCACCUUCUCACUUCACUUUACUCUGGAAAAGACAAAUACAUUACAACUGGCAGGGUAUCCCCCCUUGUUAUCCUUCCUUCUUGUUCUGACAGAGACCCAAAUACAUCAACUGGAAGAUGAAGAGAAGAACUUUUACUGUUACAAAACUGACCAAGUUACUCUGUGCUCUGGUUUGGGCCUGAGUCUGCCAUGAACUUAUAUCCACUUGUAACUGAAAAAAGCAUGUUCAAAGGCAGCAAAUGCCAAGCAAAAGUUGCUUUCAGCUAAGAGGAUACAACAAUUUCCUGUAACAUUGUUUCUGCCUUUCUCACAUAGCCCAGAAAAUGAAAACUGUGCUUGAGUCCACAAGAGGAUCGAUCCCUGUUCAAGCUUUGGUAUGCAUGUUUUGUAUUUGUAAGGUAGCACGUCUGACUGUGAGUUACUGCACAAUAAACCUACCUCUUCAUUUGUAUCUAAGUGCAGACCCUGUGCCAUUUUUACAGCAGCAUAUUUAAUAAAUAAAAAAAUAGAACUUCAUUAAAAAUAAAUGUCUAUUAUGGGAAGUCUUUGAUUUGAAUGCCCAUUUUCAAACAUUAUACGUGAAAAUACUCAAGUACUGCAGUGGGUCACUUACUACAAAUUUGAUUUGAAGAUCAGCCUACAAUCUCAUAAACAGUCUCAUAAAGAUGUAACUAUCAUAAUAACUUUCCAUUUUCCAGUUGCAAAUGUAAGAUGAACUGUUCUGAAGCACCUAAUGUAUGACUAAUGUUUAUUUGUUUUACAAGAAGCUUUACAGCUGCAAUGUUCCAAGAAUGCUUAAAUUCAAUAAACAGCUAUUAUAAUUCA